rnacentral:rRNA from 1 species
CGCCCAAUAGCUAGCCCACCCAUCAACCCCAAACACACCCUAUCUAUACCCCCAAACACACCACCACCCAACAAACAAACCAUUUUCCCACCUAAGUACGGGCGACGAAAAAGGACCUAGGAGCAACAGAGAAAGUACCGCAAGGGGAAGCUGAAAGAGUAAUGAAACAACCCAGUAAAGCACUAAAAAGCAGAGACCGCCCCUCGUACCUUUUGCAUCAUGAUUUAGCCAGAAAACCUUAAGCAAAAAGCAUUAUAGUUUAAUACCCCGAAACUAAGCGAGCUACUCCAAGACAGUCUAAUUUAUAGGACCACCCCGUCUCUGUGGCAAAAGAGUGGGAAGAACUUUGAGUAGAGGUGACAAACCUACCGAGCCUAGUUAUAGCUGGUUGCCUGAGAACUGAAUAGAAGUUCAGCCCUUUAAAUUCUUUACCCCCAUUGGCCCAAGGCCUCCACACCGAACAAAAGAAACUAAAGGAGUUAGUCAAAGGGGGUACAGCCCCUUUGAAACAAGAUACAACUUUCCAAGGAGGGUAAAGAUCACAACAAACUUAAAGGCCUAAUGUCCUAGUGGGCCUAAAAGCAGCCACCUACCCAGAAAGCGUUAAAGCUCGAACAUUACAUAACCAGCCUUUUAAUAAAGACAACACAAUCUCACCCCCCUAAACCUACCAGGCCGUUCCAUAAAAAUAUGGAAGUGUUUAUGCUAAUAUGAGUAAUAAGAGAGACCCCCUCUCUCCCCGCACAAGUGUAACUNGGAACGAACCAUUCACCGACCAUUAACGGCCCCAAAAUAAAGAGGGCACUAGACAAAAAACAAACAACUAGAAAACCACCUACCCCCCCCCACCGUUAACCCCACACUGGUGUGCCAACCGGGAAAGACUAAAAGAAAAAGAAGGAACUCGGCAAACACAAGCCUCGCCUGUUUACCAAAAACAUCGCCUCUUGUACCCCUAAACAUAAGAGGUCCCGCCUGCCCUGUGACUAUAA